ACAUUAACAGGUCUUACGGUCGCUGCAUUGGAAUGAGUACAAUUUAAACCACUUAACGAGUAUCCAUUGGAGGGCAAGUCUGGUGCCAGCAGCCGCGGUAAUUCCAGCUCCAAUAGCGUAUAUUAAAGUUGUUGCAGUUAAAAAGCUCGUAGUUGAAUUUCGGAGGAGAGUUCCUGGUCUAGGUUCGCCUUGUACUGGGACGCUCGAAUCUUUUUUCUGGGGAAGCGAGGUGUCCUUUAUUGGGCGCUUCGGGGAACCAGGACGAUUACCUUGAGAAAAAUAGAGUGUUCAAAGCAGGCUUUUGCUUGGAUACGUUAGCAUGGAAUAAUAAAAUAGGACUUUGGUUCUAUUUUGUUGGUUUUAAGGACCAAUGUCAUGAUGAAUAGGGACAGUUGGGGGCAUUCGUAUUCCGAAGCUAGAGG
rnacentral:rRNA from 1 species